UACGAAGGGGGGCUAGCGUUGCUCGGAAUUACUGGGCGUAAAGGGAGCGUAGGCGGGUUAUCAAGUUGGGGGUGAAAGCCCGGGGCUCAACCUCGGAAUUGCCUUCAAAACUGAUAACCUGGAGUAUGGAAGAGGUAAGUGGAACUCCGAGUGUAGAGGUGAAAUUCGUAGAUAUUCGGAAGAACACCAGUGGCGAAGGCGACUUACUGGUCCAUUACUGACGCUGAGGCUCGAAAGCGUGGGGAGCAACAGG
rnacentral:rRNA from 1 species